rnacentral:tRNA from 1 species
AACUAGAGAGCUUGAAUAAGCACCUGACUUUUAAUCAUGAGAUAAUUGUAUAAUUUCUAGUUA